rnacentral:rRNA from 1 species
AUUGAACGCUGGCGGCAUGCCUUACACAUGCAAGUCGAACGGUAACAGGUCUUCGGAUGCUGACGAGUGGCGAACGGGUGAGUAAUACAUCGGAACGUGCCCGAGAGUGGGGGAUAACGAGGCGAAAGCUUUGCUAAUACAGCAUACGAUCUCAGGAUGAAAGCAGGGGACCGCAAGGCCUUGCGCUCACGGAGCGGCCGAUGGCAGAUUAGGUAGUUGGUGGGAUAAAAGCUUACCAAGCCGACGAUCUGUAGCUGGUCUGAGAGGACGACCAGCCACACUGGGACUGAGACACGGCCCAGGCUCCUACGGGAGGCAGCAGUGGGGAAUUUUGGACAAUGGGCGCAAGCCUGAUCCAGCCAUGCCGCGUGCAGGAUGAAGGCCUUCGGGUUGUAAACUGCUUUUGUACGGAACGAAAAGACUCCUUCUAAUAAAGGGGGUCCAUGACGGUACCGUAAGAAUAAGCACCGGCUAACUACGUGCCAGCAGCCGCGGUAAAAC